GGGAGGUGAUGAGUGGUCAUAGCUUGCAUUUAAAAAUGCAAGAUGGGUUGUCUGACUAAAUAUUUACGACAAUUAGGCAACUCUAAUCUUAUAACCAUCUGAUCCC